UUCUGGCUCAGGAUGAACGCUGGCGGCGUGCCUAACACAUGCAAGUCGAACGGGACAUACGAAAAGCUUGCUUUCGUAUGUUUAGUGGCGGACGGGUGAGUAACGCGUGAGCAACCUGCCUUUCAGUGUGGAAUAACGUCUCGGAAACGGACGCUAAUACCGCAUGACAUCAAGAUGUCGCAUGGCAACUUGAUUAAAGAUUUAUCGCUGAAAGAUGGGCUCGCGUCCGAUUAGCUAGAUGGUGGGGUAAAGGCUCACCAUGGCGACGAUCGGUAGCCGGACUGAGAGGUUGAACGGCCACAUUGGGACUGAGACACGGCCCAGACUCCUACGGGAGGCAGCAGUGGGGGAUAUUGCACAAUGGGGGAAACCCUGAAUGCAGCAACGCCGCGUGAGGGAAGACGGUUUUCGGAUUGUAAACCUCUGUCUUCGGUGACGAUAAUGACGGUAGCCGAGGAGGAAGCUCCGGCUAACUACGUGCCAGCAGCAGC
rnacentral:rRNA from 1 species